GGAGCCUGUGUGCGGCGGCCGCGCCGCCGCCCUGGGGACAGCCGAGGGCGAGGCGCCGCGCGGGCCGCCGGGUCCACAGCGUCGCUUCCCGCCCCACGCGGCAGUGUUUCCGCCGCUCGCCCCAGCCCGUCCGCAGGAGGACGAGACCCACAGAGGGAGUCAGGCCUGGCGGAGUCACGCCUGACCUCCUGUGGGAGGUUCAGGGAGGCCAAGGAGGCGUGCGACCUUCCCGUUAAAGUGUGACUUGACAACAGGGGCAAGUGCGGCAUCCAGUUCACGGCUGAGAUCAGUGUCAACGGGGACAAGACCACGGCAGCCACUGGAACCAUUUCCACCUCUGAACUUGGAACAAGACACGGCCUGCAAAGCUGGUUUUUCAUUUUUCACGCACUGUUGAUUCUGCGUCUUGAUUCCAUCCUUGCAUCUUGAAGGCAACAACCAGAAAAACAGCCGUGUGACACCCAGCUGGGCUGUUAAGUCUUUCUCCUGGAUUUCCGAGCAGACUGGGAGAGUGAGUCAGAGGUCCUUCUGAAGCUUCUCCAGAUCGGAUUAGAUGGAGGGCUGGUCAAGCGUGAGACACCUUCCCGCCUGCUCCGUGACACGUCCGGACCCUUGUCAACGUGCCUGCAGCGCCAUUUCCACGCGGAAGCUGCGAUCUGGUUCCGCUGAGCUUGGCGUCCUUCCCGGAGACAUAAAUCGCAGAAAUGGAGAACCUGUGCCCUGGGGUCACAAAGAACACUGGGCUGAAAGACGAGGUUUACCGCUCCUGGGCCUGUGACCUGCGGCGCAUUCCUGAACCUUGCCAAGCUUCCAUCUCCUCAUCUGAACGCUGGAGGCCAUUCCACCUCACCGCCCAUGGUCAAAUGAAAACCAAAGUCACUUGCCUGUGAACCAUGGAAAAAAUUGGCAAAUUGAAUGGAUGUUUGUCCAAAGUCAGACUCAGCACCUUUAUCCAGAAACUCUAAGAAAAAAAAAAAAAA